rnacentral:misc_RNA from 1 species
GCCCGCGGCCGGGGGAUUGAAGGGGUGGGGACAAGGGAGGCUAUCAGCACUUCACCUUAUAGUAAGAAAUUCACUAAUAGGUAGAGUUCUAAUACCACCACCUUUAGGAAAAUAUGAAAAGCACAAAAUUCUGUGUUUAUGUAAUCCAUAUCAAUGAAGCAAAGAAGCAAAUCAGAAAUGUUAAAGGAUAAUUGCUAAAAACUUGCAGAAUCGAGAAGGGCAUAGCAAAAGAUUCUAAUGCACAUACAAGGAGCAAGGGCCGAGGCUCAGCUGCACCAGCG